rnacentral:rRNA from 1 species
UACGUAGGUGGCGAGCGUUGUCCGGAUUUACUGGGCGUAAAGGGCGCGUAGGCGGUCUGCUAAGCGUGCGGUGAAAGCCUGGGGCUCAACCCCAGGUCUGCCGUGCGAACUGGUGGACUGGAGCACUGUAGAGGCAGGUGGAAUUCCGGGUGUAGCGGUGGAAUGCGUAGAGAUCCGGAAGAACACCGGUGGCGAAGGCGGCCUGCUGGGCAGUUGCUGACGCUGAUGCGCGACAGCGUGGGGAGCAAACAGG